rnacentral:rRNA from 1 species
AGCAGCCGCGGUAAUUCCAGCUCCAAUAGCGUAUAUUAAAGUUGUUGCAGUUAAAAAGCUCGUAGUUGAAUUUCGGGGUCAGUAGAUUGGUCGUGCCUCUGGUAUGUACUGGUCUUACUGGCUCCUCCUUCCUGAUGAACCGUAAUGUCCAUUAAUUUGGUGUUGCGGGGAGACUGGACUGUUACUUUGAAAAAUUAGAGUGUUUAAAGCAGGCUAACGCUUGAAUACAUUAGCAUGGAAUAAUGAAAUAGGACGUUCGAUCUUAUUUUGUUGGUUUCUAAGUAUUGACGUAAUGAUUAAUAGGGAUAGUUGGGGGCAUUAGUAUUCAAUUGUCAGAGGUGAAAUUCUUGGA